rnacentral:rRNA from 1 species
CUGCCCCAUACAGGGGAAUAACAGCCGGAAACGGCUUUUAAAACCGCAUAAGCGCACAAGGGCCGCAUGGCCUGGUGUGAAAAAUUCCGAUGGUAUGGGAUGGGCCCGCGUCUGAUUAGCUAGUUGGCGGGGGAGAGGCCCACCAAGGCGACGAUCAGUAGCCGACCUGAGAGGGUGGCCGGCCACAUUGGGACUGAGACACGGCCCAAACUCCUACGGGAGGCAGCAGUGGGGAAUAUUGCACAAUGGGGGAAACCCUGAUGCAGCGACGCCGCGUGAGCGAAGAAGUAUUUCGGUAUGUAAAGCUCUAUCAGCAGGGAAGAAAAAUGACGGUACCUGAGUAAGAAGCACCGGCUAAAUACGUGCCAGCAGCCGCGGUAAUACGUAUGGUGCAAGCGUUAUCCGGAUUUACUGGGUGUAAAGGGAGCGCAGGCGGUGCGGCAAGUCUGAUGUGAAAGCCCGGGGCUCAACCCCGGGACUGCAUUGGAAACUACCGAACUAGAGUGUCGGAGAGGUAAGUGGAAUUCCUAGUGUAGCGGUGAAAUGCGUAGAUAUUAGGAGGAACACCAGUGGCGAAGGCGGCUUACUGGACGAUAACUGACGCUGAGGCUCGAAAGCGUGGGGAGCAAACAGGAUUAGAUACCCUGGUAGUCCACGCCGUAA